CCACUGUGAUACUCAAAUCCAAGUGCUACUUCAUGGAGAGCUUAAAGACACAUUCUGUAUGUUAUUCUUGCUCAGUGACACAGAACGUGGCCUGGAUUUCUGAGGUAAACUGAGACACCCAUCUGCCAUUCACCCAGAGGAGUGACUGUUUUUCCCUGUGGGUCAGAAUGAACAAGUCUCUGCAGAGGGAAACAGCAUCAUGGCCCAGCUCUGCCCCUUCUGGGCCUGGCUCACACCCCAGUUCUCAGACCCUUGUAAUUCCUCUUCAAGGAAUGCCUCCAUGAGGAAGCUCUGCCCACACAAACUCCAGUUAUUGGCUGUCUACCUCCUCCAGGCUGCAACAGGCCAGUGUCCUGACAUCUCUGCUGACCCUUGCCUCCCUCAAAGGAGGUCCCAGAGGACGCUGUUGAGCCCUUCCGCUGUCAGAUGCUGUCCAUGCUCACUUCUCUUCUCCGUUCUCCUCCCUACAAGAUUUAUAGCUUGCCUGCCCUGGGGUUUCAUUUUAAAUGCUAAUGAAUUAUCCCAAGGCUUCCAUUUGAUAGCAUUCUUUGUCCCUAAGCCUUCUGUCUCAAUUUUUUUAUUAAUGAGACUAAGAACCCCAAGACACAACCCUAAUUUUUCCAGUAUUAUAUGAUGGCUUUUCUGUGAUAUCUAUGGUGUCUGGUAAACACCUUGUAAUUCUUUAAUCAGAAGGGAAAACGAUCCCUUUCUUGCACUCCUAGACAGCAUCAUGGGACACAUGCAUAUACACAUAUACGCACAUGCACACACACAUACACGCAUACACAUGCACACACACACAUUUUAUUGACCUCAGAGGAUGCCCUGUAACCUUAUAGACAGUCCCUUCAUGGGUACAGGUUAGUAGAGCCAAUAUCAUUUCAAACAUCAUUUGCAAGUCACCUUGUGAUCAAACCUACAGGCUUAAAUGCCCAUGAUAGACUUUUUUCAGCUAUAUUGAGUUAGAGCUGAUGUCAGAUUUCUGUCCAGCUCUCCCAGCUCAAGGAGCCUGUUUAAAACAGAAAACAGGAUUCCCUUUGAUCAGCAGAAUGUUCUCAAGACAACUUUCUGGAACCACAGACCUAAAUCGUGCAACUUAGAUCCAAUGGCUGGCAUGAUACUAACCCACAUGCAUGGCGGGACCAUCACACACUUCACGGCCAACAUCUCUGAGGGCUUUUUUACUUAGUUACAUUUCUUGUAAGGAUGGUUAAGUCCUUGGAUAGGACAUUUGGGAAACACCAACAUGUAGAAGUUCUGAACUGGAGUUCAUAUUCCAAUGUCAGAGAAUAAUAAUGGUUGCUUUGAUGAGCAUUUGGUAAUAGUGUCAGGCUGUAUUUACAGCAAGAGAAAGUCCUGUGAUUAUUGUCAUUCUGAAAAUAGGAAGCCCAUUGAAAUCAUUGCUGGGGGGCGCGCCCCAUGCCUGCCGGUAGGAAAGGUCCCACACUCCCAGAAUGCAUGGUUUUGGAAAUGUCGUCAUCGGUGGAGAUCCACUGCAGACUCAUGAAGAACAGGUCAGCCCUUUGGUUACACACCGGACUGACAUUGUUUAAAUAGCUACUGUCUCAAAUUGUUCUCAAAAGCCAUUCUAAAGGAAGAGGCAGGAUGAGGCACUGGAGUGACACAACUGAACAAGAAAAGUCAUGUAACUAAAUAAUAAAGCAACUGUGACAAGGACUUGACAGGUCUAGGUUCGUACAGGAAGUAUGCUUGUGGUGACAGAUUGUGUACCCUAACAAAAUUUGCCUGAAGAUCAGAGAACGGAACAAGCCUCUAGAUUAAACACAGAGGCCAGGCAGUGGUGGCACACACACCUUUAAUCCUAGCACUCAGGAGGCAGAGAUCCAUCUAGAACUCUGUGAGUUCAAAGCCACCCUGAACUACAUGAGAUUGACUCAGUCUAGGAGAGGAAACAGAGCCAGGAAGAGUUGGCACACACCUUUAAUCCCAGUACUGGGAAUCACACACGCCUUUAAUCCCAGGAAGUGAUGGCUGGGCAGAGAAAGGCGUGAGGAGACAGGAACUAAAGGCUUUUCAGCAGAAGUGUCUCUUUCAGCUAGAGGCUUUUUCAUCUGGAGCCUUUCCAGUGAGGACUCAGAGAUAUUCAGUCAGAGGAUUCGUGGCGUUGGCGAGUGUUAAACAGAACCAAGCAACAGAACCAAAACCUUCAAUAGCAGAAGAAAUAGCCUGACCGCACAGCACAGACGCGCCUGUUUUGUCCAGUGCGCACAAAGAACCAGGGAAACUGCCUUUUGCAUGACAGGAUUAUCCAGGAGGGCUUGGGCUGCCUCCCUUCAGCAGUCUGGGCUUGGACAUCAAAGUUGAACCAAGCAGGGGCUGGAGAUGCGGCUCAGUUGGCAAAGUGCCUGCUGUACAAACAUGAAGACUGAGUUCUGGCCCACUUGCAUUGGUGUGCCCUCUCAUCCCCGUGCUGGGGAGCCAGAGACCCACGAGUCCCUGGGAUCCACCGACCAGCCCGUCCAGCCUACGCGGCAAGUUUCAGGCCAGCGCUUUUUUUUUCUCAAAAAACAAUAUAUAUACAGUACCCAAGGAAAGACACCCAAAGUUGACCUCUGGCUUCUGUACACACACACACACACACACACACACGCCAAACAAACAAAGAAUCCAAUAACUUUUUAAAACCCACAAAAAUGAAAUAGAGCAGGCUAGAUUUCAAUAGGAUCUUCUGAGGAAAACCUGUCAGCCAAUACAAUCUACGGCAUCAGACAGGGCCUGAAUAAUCUCCCUUCCGUGAAGAUUCAGAGUCUGGAAACAGUGACAGCAAACCACCAGGACCCCUUUGUAUAAGAAAGUGCAGACAGGGGCCAGAGAGAUGGCUCAGGAGUUAAGAGUGCUUGCUGCUCCCCCAGAGAACCCAAGUUGAGCAUUUACAUGGAGCAGUUCAUAAUCACUUAUUACUCCAGCUCCAGGGGAUCUGACAGAUUCUUCUGGCUUCUGUGGACACCCCCGUGUGUGUGGCACACACAGACAUACGAGUGAAAAUAAGUCUUUUAAGACAUUUUUCUAAAAGAAGAAAGUGCAAACAGACCACAGCUUGGGACUCCUCCAUGGGAAUAAGCCCCUAAGAGAACAAGAUCAAAUGCCACAUGUCACCCAUGUGUGCUAGGAGUCCUAAAAACUUGAAUUUCUGAGUGGAAAAAAAAAAGACUGUGUGACAAUGAGAACAUGAGAAGCAACUGUUUUCAGAGACAAGACUUAGCCUGAAUUCUGAAUGUUGCCAUCCCAAAAUGUACCUGCCUUUUUCCAUAGAGUCAUGGACACUUGCAGCUUGUUGGGAGAAGAUGGGCACGAGCAGGACCUGCCCCUCUUGAGACACUGCACUAUCCCCAGAUGGAGAAGAGUGCACAGCCAUUUUUAUUUCUCAUACUGCUGCUGUAGCUUGUCAGCACCCGCCACCCACUUAUGUCUGCUUUGCUAGAACAAUGUCCCCCUUAAAUGCAUGAAGAAGGGAAGGACCCCGUGGCUGGGAAAAGAGAUGGCCGGUGUAGAAAGACAGAAAGGCAUUAAACUAUUUGUUGGAAAGGAAGGGGUAGCACUCCUGGGAUGGACACAGGAUAAAGGUUCAGCCAGGCCUCUUGCCUGUUCCUAGCCUGGAUAGUCAGUCCUGGCUUACAAAUAGUUUUGGGGGGGGACAAGAAAAUCCCAUCUUUAACUGUCCUGGUCCUGUUGGGGAAUUAGAUAUGGUCUGGUUGUGAUGAAGGAUAGACUGUAAGUUCAUUUCUAGAAACAGGAAACCCUGGGAUAAAAAUCUCUCAGCUGCUCGAAGGGCACCGAUGUGCGUUUGUUAGUGAAGCCUGUGCCGCCCGUGUGUGAAAGUGUCCCUGCCACCCUGUGGUGACUGUGACCACCCUGCUGUCUAUCUAUCCCUCAGUCUUCGCCAGCAAAUGACAAAGAGUUUCCACGGUGGAAGACUCCAGGAGCCCUGAGGUUGUUUUCUCAGAAGCACUGAGCUAUGCUUAAUUAAUGGAAGAAGUAUAGAGAUGCCCCCACCCUGGGCCCUGGAGCACAGAGAGCGAUUCCACACUUUUCCAAAAGUACAGGAAGCAGGCAGAUCAGAGGAAUCAACUUCCUUCCCUGGGGCAGGUGAAGGAGGCUGGCAGCAGGCAGGGACUUUAAUUAACAGAAAAGGACCAGCAGGAGCCACUCACUGGCUACAGAGGAAGUCCCUCCCCUCCCUUACCCACCUGCUCCCUCCAUCACAUCCAGGGGCCAAGGCCAGGCUGGAGGGCAGAGAACGUGCAUUCUUAUUGGAUGAAUGGUUUCUAAACCUAUUUAUGCCAAUUGUACUUAAAAUCCUAAUUAUAUCAUUUAAAUAGGUUCCAUAUAAAACAGUGCAACAUUAGUGUGAAAACAAAGUUCUUAUCUUUAUUUAUUUUUUAAUGAAAAACCUUGGAAAGAUACAACAAUAUUGAAUAGAUGGAGAGAGGAGACAGAAGAUGGCUUUGCAAGUCCCUCCUGAGUGUUCUGCACUUUAAAGAUGCCACAAUUGGAAACUGUGGAUGGCAGCUUGUAGGUAAGCCUUGUGCAAGAAGGCCCCUUGAAAGUCACUUGGCAGACUCCUCCAAAGACCUUAAUCCUACACUGUGUGAUCGGCAGCUGAAAGUGUGUGUUUUCAGUAUCUGGAAAGGUAGGUGCUCCUUGCAGGUGGCCAUGGCCCCGCACAGGGGAGGGGAUGCUGCCGAGAUGGUUCAAGGAGAUUCUAAGCCCACAGCACCGCUCCACCCCUGCUCGGCUGGUCUUAAGUCCACCAGUGGUGCUGCAAACGCAGCCCUCUGCCUCUGUCUGCCCUGGGGAGCUCAGGAUACUUGUUAUAACUGACUCAAGACAGAGGAUUUGGUUUAGCUCCUGGGUUCAGACAAACGGUUUUCCAGAAGGUAACAUGAACUCCUAACAGAAACAUCAUUCCCAUCUGAGACUCAAAAAAUAUGGCCUAGUUUUCUGAACUUCUCCCAGGGUCGACCUUUUAGCUCUGCUUUCAGAGUUUCUCCAUCCUACACUCACUUCCAAACUCUUCCAAAUUCAUGUAGCAAACUAGUUCCAAAGUUAUUAUUAUUAUUAUUAUUAUUAUUAUUUUCAAGACAGGGUUUCUGUGUGGAACAGUCCUGGCUGUCCUGGAACUCACUCUGUAGACCAACUCACAGAGAAUCACCUGUCUCUGCCUCUCGAGUGCUGGGGUUAAAGGCAUGCGCCACCACCACUGCCGGCUUAGCUCCAAAGUUUUAAGAGCCACAGAACCAAGGUUAUUCACAGCAAUGACCCACUGACUCCCCAUAUCAAUCUCCUGUAUUGUGACUUUUCAGCUCUGUGACCAAAGUACCUGUCACACAAUGUAAAUAGAUGAAGGGCUUAUUUGAGCUCAUUGAUUCAAGGAUUCAAUCCGGGUUGCUUGGCUCCGUGUGCUUGGACAGAGCUUGAUGGCCAUGGACUUGUAGGAAGAGGACCUUUUCACAUUCUUGCAUUGUGUCUUAGUAUCUUGUUUGCUGUUGUGAUAAAAAUAUGUUGAGAAAAGCAACUAAGGGGAGAGAGGGUUUAUUUUACACCCCAGGUCAAGGUUAUAGUCCAUCAUGAUGAGGAAGUCUCAGAGGCAGGGGCGUGUGUUGGAUGGUCACAGUGCGCCCACAGUCAACAAGCAAAGAACAAUGAACGCGUGGUACUUAGGGCUUAGUUCCCUUUUUCUACUUACACAGUCCAGGAUUGCAGCCAGGGGUUGGGGUCACCCACUCAUGGGUGAGGAAGAUAGGGCUGUUAGCAUUCAGACCCACUUCUUGGGAUCCUGGCCAAUAAGCAGAUAACACCCUGGCCCACCCGGCGGGUCCUGAUGUCAUCUCACGUAAAGCCCGCUUUAAGAGAAAACUCCUCCUUCCCAUCCUCCUUUCCCUAUGCCCACGAGGUGUGCACCUCUGAGCCUCUCUCUCUCUGUGUCUCUCUCUUUCUCUCCGUCUCUCUCUCCCUCCCUCCCUCCCCUUCCUUCUUCCCUCCCUUUCCUCCUCCCUUCCCCCAAUAGACUUUCCGCGUGGAUGUGUGUCUACAUGGCGUGAGUAACUGUCCACUGCUCCACACCACAGCCUACCUCCUUGUCUGCAUGGCGUGUCUCCCUCACCCACCAGGGCACCUUGGCCCAACCCACCAAGGCCUCUGGCACACCGUAUCACAACAAUGAUGGUAGGCAAGGAAGACAGGCUGGAAGGGAUGGGAGGCUGGCUAGUCACGCUGCAUCUCUAGUUAGCAGAGAAUCAACAGGAAGUAGAGCCAUGAACAGGAAGGACAACACCUCAAGGUUUGUCCCCAGUGACCUCCUUCCUCAAGGAGGCUCAGUCACCUAAGGGUCCAACCUCCCCAAACAGCGCCACCCACCGGGGAUGAAAUGUUCAAAGCCAUGAGCCGACAGGGAACAUUUCACACUCAAAGUGCAACAGUCAGGAACUAGAAAGCAGGACAAGGAGGGGCCAGAGGCGACGUACUCCAAAGCCACCCUCACCUCCUCCCGGUGACCCAGUGCUAGUCUGCAGCUUCUCAAUAUAUUGUCACCAGCUGAUGACCAAGCCUAACACAAGAACUUUCAGAGGGACAUUUCUUGUCCAAACCAUAACACUGACCAUUUUCCCUCAAACUUUGGCUAUAAAAAAAAAAGAAAAAAAAAAUCAGAGCUUUCCCUGAGCCCCUGGGCUAUUUCUAACGGCUCCUGUGUCUCAUAAAACUUUGAUUAAAUAAAUUUGUCACUUUUUCCCCUUGUCAACCCGUCUUCUGUGAGAGGAGUAUCGGCCGUGAUUCUGUGAUGGCCAGGGAAGGGUUCCUCAUCUUCCCAGCCCUAAUAUUUUGAAUGCAGCCUCAGAGACAAAGCUGUGGUGUCUGCUUUUGUCUUUAUUGCUGAUUUCUUUGCUUGCAGAAAUCAGUAGCAACUUUCUGGUUGCUAAAGUACGACAUGUGAUUCCUCCAUGAUGCCAGCUUCUCUCUGGCUUAUUUUAGCUUGCUUGGUGGCAGCUUACGGCUUGGAAAGGCCACAGCUGGGAGGGAGAUCAGAGGGAGCCAUGCUGUCCAGGGAACUAGGCAGGAGGGGAGCUCAUCAGUAGAACAGAGAGCAGCCGGCAGGGGCAGGCCACAGUCAGGAAAGGAAGAAUCCCAAAGGUAUUGGGGUCAGAACAGCCAGUAUGGGCAGCACCCCUUCAGUACAGGAACCUGACAUACUGGUUUCCCCAGCUUCUGCCUGGCUCCUGUGUCACCUCUAAAUGUCACCUUUAAACCAGGGCCAACAUCAGCUAAAUGCUCUUCAGGGAACCCUCAGGACACUGGAAAAGAAAAGGCUUUCACAAUCUGGGCAUGCCCAUGCAGCCCUUAGCAGGGCUGGUGACUUCCCCUGAACAAAGCCUCAAGCAAAGGGCUUUGCCUUCACGGACUCCUCUGCAGAAUGAAGGUAACUGCAUUGAGUAGCCUGGCAGGGACCUUUAGUCACAGGACUGAUGUUCCUGAGCAACAAAGCACUCCCUAAACAAUGUGCCUCCGAAAUGCAUAUCACUGCGCUGGCCAGAUAAGCACAGGAAAAGCUUUGAAACCAUCUCCCCGUGGACCUCGGUAAGAAGCCCUCGAUUGGUCAUGGAAGAUUUGGAUUGAAAAGCAAUUGCCUGCCCCCAGGGUGUCGUGUUUCAAUAGGAAAACCAGUGUAGGGGUAGCCUGGCCCAGCAGAGCCUUGCAAAGCUAAACACACCUGGAGCUGCAAAGCAAAGGAACAUUUUGCCUCCAGAUAAACACAUCAUCCCCCAGACUUCAGUAGCCCCUGAAAAGAAAGACAGGAAGGCAAAACCACCUUCACCAGGGGACCCCCAACUAUUGCACCUCUGAGCCUCAGUGGUCUAAACCCAGUAAAUACAAGACUUCCCCUUUAUAAAGCCUUAGGCAUUUCUCUCAUUCACUGCUCACUUUCUCCUCCUGACAAUGGGAGCAAAGUAGAUUAUCAAAAGGUGUUUUAGGUGUUGUGACCUCCAGAAAACCAGAAAUACAGAAAUCCACACUAGCUAGGCUUUACCAUGUGUACAGACACCACAACUAACAAGACCAAAAAGAUGGCCCAAUGUGAUGUAGCCUGCUCUGCUCACACACACUUCACCAUGACAGGCUGAGGCCUCUGAAACAGUGAGCCAAAGACAUCCUCUCCUCUCUUGCUUCUGUCGGACAUUCGGUCAUGGUAACGAAGGCAAUUAAUGCUGCUAAAAACUUAGUUCUGAUUAUUUUCUUGAUUUUUACGGCCAUUGUUAUUUUUGUGCCUGAGUGUGUACGUGCAGGUAUGUGUGUAUGAGUUGAAUGCAUGUUCAUAUGUGUUGAGAAGGGUGUGCAUAGGUGUUUGUGUAUGCACAGGGAAACCAUUCAUAUGUGUGUGUGUGUGUACACAGAGGCCAGAAGUCAACUUCGGUUCAGUCUGUAGCAGGAAUCUUAAAAGUUCUUAUUAAUAAAAUCAAACCUGAAGCCAGUUAUUGGGGUGAAUGCUGGAAGAUCAGAGAAGCAGAACAAGCCACAGCUACCUCACCUCGCCAAUUCCUCAGCUGGUCUUGUUUCCUCAGACUAGAGGCCUCUGAGUCCUCAUCCAAAUGGGUCUCAGCUGAACUGCUGCUCAAAAGCCUGAAUGCUUAACCAGCUAAAAGCUUAACCAGGCCAAAUGCUUCUAGUUUCUAAUCUCCACGCCUUAUAUAUCUUUCUGUUUUUGCCAUCACUCCCUGGGAUUAAAGGCUCACUCCCUGGGACUAAAGGCAUGUGUCACCAUGCCUGGCUGUUUCCAAUGUGGCCUUGAAUUCACAGAGAUCCAGAGGGAUUUCUGCCUCUGGAAUGCUAGGAUUAAAGGUGUGAGUGCCACCAUUUUCUAGCCUCUGUAUCUAGUGGCUGUUCUGUUCUCUGACCCCAGAUAAGUUUAUUAGGGUGCACAAUAUUUUUGGGAACACAAUACCACCACAUCAGUCCUUGUUUUGUUUUGUUUUUGUUUUUGUUUUUGUUUUUGUUUUAAGACAGGGUCUCUCGCUGCCCCGAGGCUCGCCAUCCCCAUUGCUGGGAUUACAAGCUUACACUGCCAUGCCCAGCCUUCCACGUGGGUGCUGGGAGUUGAACCCAAGUCCUCACGCUUACCCAGCAAGCACUCUACCCUCCCAAGCCAUCUCUCCAGCCCAUGCUGUUGCUGGUACUGUGUCAGUGGAUGAGGAGACGCAGCCUCCCAGCAGCAGAGACAGAACAAGAGCAGAGACUCCAACCCAGGCCUCUUCUUCCCUGAGUGCUGAGUCUAAAUCCACCUGUUUCAUACACAGUCCUGUUUUUAAGCAGGCAGACAUUGCAUUAAACUUUUAGUCAGUUCUGGAAAGUUAUGUGCAAUAAUGUUCAUUCUCUCUCUCUCUCUCUCUCUCUCUCUCUCUCUCUCUCUCUCUCUCACUCGCUAUAAAGGCAUGCAAAGCUGGCCUCCUGAGAAGCUGUUAAGCAUUUGGCAAACUCUGCUACUAUUCCAGAGAGAACACUGAGUAACACAAGGGUUCCACUUAAAGCCUACCCAGCUGAGGCCAGCAGGGACCCAGAGUGACUAUGACACUACUCAUCUUCCCCUGGGGACAUGUGUUCAAAUACAGGAGCAGGGUCAGUCCUCCGACAGCACAGACACAGUGACUGGAUGUUAUGCUGAGCACAGGGCACAGGAUCUGUAAUGUAAUGGCUCUGGUCCUAUACAGGGGCAGGAGGCCCCAUGGAUUGGCUGGGGUCCUCUCCCUACCCACCCUCCCAUCUCACUGAGUCUUGGCAAAGACAAAGGAAGGGGUGCAAUGAGAUUUGAAAGUCAAGGUGAGACAGAAAAAGCAGCUACAGCCAACCUCUUCCCUGGGACCGACAGACUACUUGGACACCUCAGAGGAAAGGCAUGUAGCCAGGGAGUGCCUUUGGACUUAGGGUAGGAGAGGAUGAAAAGCUGGGAAAGGGAGGGGCGGGGGAGCCUUGUCUACCUGUCAGGGUCAGCCUCCAGUUUAAGAAUUAGGUAAAAUCACGUUCUAACAGAAAUGCACACAUCAGGCCAAACAACAGGACUGUCUGUGCUUUGUUUUGCUCUGAUUUCAUGAAAACAGGAACCACAAAUCUGUUUUGGUGAAAAUGACAACAUGUAUACAUUAAAAUACAUUAGAAUGUUUGAAUUUGUAAAUGAUAUAUUGUAAUUUAAAGGCUCUAGAGAUACAAUGAAAUAUAUGAUACAUAACAUAAGUCUACAUAACAACCUAUGUUAUAUAUGAUACGUAGUGUAUACUAUAUAUAAUUCUAUAUUAACUUGCGUAUUCUAGAAUGAAUUAGAAUAAUGUGGCCAUCUAAACUAGGAUUAAAAAGAAAGCCAAUGUUCCGAGCAUUUCUCUUUGCUCGUCUAUGUUCUAAGCUUCAAAAAGUUAUAUACUAUUUUGUUACCAUAUUCAAGAGUUAUAUAAAAUUUGGGAACUUUGUGAGGGUCUAUGGCAACCCCCUGCCCAGUUCUGUUUGUUCUUAUUCCCAAAUUCCACACAACAGACC